rnacentral:rRNA from 1 species
AACGCUGGCGGCAUGGCUAAGACAUGCAAGUCGAACGGACUAUUUUGAAGAGUAAUCGGAUUAAUAGUUAGUGGCGAAAGGGUGAGGAAUAGAUAGGUAACGUACCUCGGGCUCCGGAAUAGCUCAUCGAAAGGUGGGGUAAUGCCGGAUGAUGUCAUCUGUUUAAUGCAGAUGACCAAAGAUUUAUCGGCCCCUGAGCGGCCUAUUUCCUAUCAGCUUGUUGGUGAGGUAACGGCUCACCAAGGCGACGACGGGUAGCGGGACUGAGAGGUUGACCCGCCACAUCGGAACUGAGACACUGUCCGGACCUCCACGGAGGGCUGCAGUAACGAAUAUUGGGCAAUGGGCGAAAGCCUGACCCAGCAAUGCCGCGUGUAGGAUGAAGCUUUUCGGAGUAUAAACUACUUUCAGGGAUUAGAAAGCUACGGUUGAUCAAUCCCAGAAGAAGUCACCGCUAACUUCGUGCCAGCAGCCGCGGUAAGACGAAGGUGGCAAGCGUUAUUCGAAAUCACUGGGCUUAAAGGGCGCGUAGGCGGAUAUAUAAGUGUUAGGUGAAAUCCCCCGGCUUAACCGAGGAAUUGCUUGGCAAACUACAUAUCUUGAGGCAAGUAGGGGUGUGUGGAACUCUUGGUGGAGCGGUGGAAUGCGUAGAUAUCAAGAGGAACGCCGAAGGUGAAGACAGCACACUGGACUUGUACUGACGCUGAGGCGCGAAAGCGUGGGGAGCAAACAGGAUUAGAUACCCUGGUAGUCCACGCCGUAAACGAUGUAUACUAGGUCGCGGAGGUUCUGACACCGUCGCGGUCGUAGCAAAAGUGUUAAGUACACCGCCUGGGGAGUACGGUCGCAAGGCUAAAACUCAAAGGAAUUGACGGGGGCUCACACAAGCGGUGGAGCAUGUGGAUUAAUUCGAAGCAACGCGCAGAACCUUACCUGGGUUUGACAUGUAUGGAUGCCUAUCUGGAAACAGAGUCGGCUGCCCUCGGGUGAAACUUACACAGGUGCUGCAUGGCUGUCGUCAGCUCGUGUCGUGAGAUG